rnacentral:lncRNA from 1 species
CCUGAGAAUGUUUUAUAUGGCAAAAUGAAAGAAAGGAACACACUGUUUCCCUUUUCGUAAUAUGAACCAUCAGCACUCAAGUGAGGCCUAUGUGCCGAAACCUAUGCCCUUCUGGUUUUCUUUCUGAUAUUGUAUGAAGUGACCCGUAUCUCACUUCUGCGUAAAAGACAGUUGAUGAGAAAGACAAAGCUCUUGUUCUUUAGGUGAGUGAUUCAUUGGUUGAUUGCCUAGAGUUUUCCACUUGGGAGCAAAUUCCUUCGGUGGUUUCCAGAGCUUGAAGAGACAUUAGUUUGCUUUUCAAUUUAUAUGACCAUUCUACUGAAUCCAGUGAGCAGCACUCUGCAAUUGUAAUAGCUCUGAUACAUAACUUCACAUUUGGAAUGUAAAGUGCAACCAUUCUUAAUAGUUUGGUUUAAUGGCCACUCUUUUCUUUUUCCUAUG